rnacentral:rRNA from 1 species
UACGUAGGGGGGCAAGCGUUGUCCGGAUUUAUUGGGCGUAAAGAGCGUGUAGGCGGUCAGGUAGGUCCGUUGUGAAAACUCGAGGCUCAACCUCGAGACGCCGAUGGAAACCAUCUGACUAGAGUCCGGAAGAGGAGAGUGGAAUUCCUGGUGUAGCGGUGAAAUGCGCAGAUAUCGGGAGGAACACCGGUGGCGAAGGCGGUUCUCUGGGCCUUACCUGACGCUGAGGAGCGAAAGCGUGGGGAGCGAACAGG